CCUACGGGAGGCAGCAGUGGGGAAUAUUGGACAAUGGGGGCAACCCUGAUCCAGCCAUGCCGCGUGUGUGAAGAAGGCCCUCGGGUUGUAAAGCACUUUCAGUGAGGAAGAACGCCUGGUGGUUAAUACCCAUCAGGAAAGACAUCACUCACAGAAGAAGCACCGGCUAACUCCGUGCCAGCAGCCGCGGUAAUACGGAGGGUGCGAGCGUUAAUCGGAAUUACUGGGCGUAAAGCGCGCGUAGGUGGCUUGAUAAGCCGGUUGUGAAAGCCCCGGGCUCAACCUGGGAACGGCAUCCGGAACUGUCAAGCUAGAGUGCAGGAGAGGAAGGUAGAAUUCCUGGUGUAGCGGUGAAAUGCGUAGAGAUCGGGAGGAAUACCAGUGGCGAAGGCGGCCUUCUGGACUGACACUGACACUGAGGUGCGAAAGCGUGGGUAGCAAACAGGAUUAGAUACCCUAGUAGUC
rnacentral:rRNA from 1 species